UUGAUGCAGGUAACGACCUUCUCUUUUGUUGUAGGCGAGAGAGUGCCGAGUCUCCCCCUGGUUGUUGCAGCUCCUCUGCCCCUACUCUUCAUGUAAGUGGUCGUCGGUUCAAGGCCUGAAAGGCAGCUCUGCAACAUGUGAGAGAGGUCAUGGGUUUAAGGCCACGAGAGCAUACAUAAUUCUACACCUGAUUCCUCUGUAUGCAAUGAAGAAACUGUAGCAUCCACUGGAACUUGUUGACCGGAGAACAUAGCAUCGAUCGGAGAAAUCUCGUCGGAUAGUUGAUACAUGCAGUAGCUUCAACGAUGUAUGCGGUGAUUGGGUUGUUGGAUACUAUGCAAUCUCAUAUGAGAGUUGAGGUUUUGAGUGUGGACGGACCUAUAUCUUUUUCCUCCAGAUGGCGAGAUGUUUGAGCAGAUGAAAAGAGCUUCUUGGAUUGAAGCUUCAAAACCAUCAGCCUAAGCAAGAGCUGCAGAAAACAAAUUUGUCAUUAGAUCUAAUGCGAGGUCUCUAAAGCAGUUCCUGUAUAGAAACCCCAGGUCUCGAUUCCUCUUGUGUCGCCAAUUCGUCUCACACUGAAAAUAAUUUUUCAGAUUGUAGUUUAUAAACAAGAUAAAAUCACACCAAUUUCAAAAUUCAAGCUUCAUCUUUAUAACCAUAGAAAAGGACUUGGAAUUUGGAAGUUGAAUGCAUAUCCUUUUARGCUUCAUCUUCAUAACCAUGGAAAGACGAACGUAUUUUAGAGAGAAUAUCGGUGCUUGAAGAUAUGGAAUAAGGUUUGUGGGUCACAGAAGUUAUGCAAAUCUGAGGUUUUUCAGCAGAAACGAAUGCCGAAGAGCAAUCAUCGCCUGAAAAUGAAAUGAAGUUAUGCAAGUCUGAGGUUUUUUCUUUAUUGCCUUUAAUUUAUUCAAAAUUUGAGUUGGAUGGUUGUAUAAAGAUAGAGGGUACAUGCUAAUGGAUGUGACUUGCAUGUAAUAUUUAUUUUAGCAAUUGUCAGAUUUGUG